AGUAGGGCCAUUUUUACAUCAAAUUGGCUGUAGAAAUUGAACGGAAACACUCAGGAGGGCCAUUUUUAUAUCAAAUUGGCGGUAGAAAUUAAAGGAGAACCCGCAGGAGGGCCAUUUUUACAUCAAAUUGGCUGUAGAAAUUGAACGGAAACACUCAGGAGGGCUAUUUUUAUAUCAAAUUGGCUGUAGAAAUUGAACGGAAACCCGCAGGAAGGCCAGUUUU